CGGACAGGUCCAGGUCACGGCACAGUGUUUCGAGGCACACGGACAGGCAUGACGGGUCACACCGUACUGAUGCCUACAGAUGUGAUGAAAGAUCCCGGCACAGUGAUCUUACCAGCCCCCCCUAUGACGGGCCAAGGCAUGAUGCAGUGACAGAUCUAAAAUGGACAUUCCCAUUGCCUACGGAUGUGUUUCAGAAAAAGGUCUUAACCCUGCUGUUUGAC